rfam:Mesocricetus auratus contig103555, whole genome shotgun sequence.
GGGGAGGUAGCUCAGUGGUAGAGCGCAUGGUUUGCAUGUAUGAGGCUUCGGGUUCGGUCCCCAGCAUCUCCA